rnacentral:rRNA from 1 species
UACGUAGGGUGCAGGCGUUAAUCGGAAUUACUGCGCGUAAAGCGUGCGCAGGCGGUUUCUUAAGUCAGAUGUGAAAGCCCCGGGCUUAACCUGGGAACUGCGUUUGAAACUGGGAGACUUGAGUGUGGCAGAGGGGGGUGGAAUUCCACGUGUAGCAGUGAAAUGCGUAGAUAUGUGGAGGAACACCGAUGGCGAAGGCAGCCCCCUGGGCUAACACUGACGCUCAGGCACGAAAGCGUGGGGAGCAAACAGG